UGGAGAGUUUGAUCCUGGCUCAGGACGAACGCUGGCGGCGUGCCUAAUACAUGCAAGUCGCGCGGGCGGCGGGGGGCUUGCCCCCCAAAGCCAGCGGCGGACGGGUGAGUAACACGUGGGCAACCUGCCCGGCAGUCAGGGAUAACGCCUGGAAACGGGUGCUAAUCCCCGAUACGCUCCCCGGGGGCAUCCCCGGGGAGGGAAAGGCGCUUCGGCGUCGCUGUCGGAUGGGCCCGCGGCGCAUUAGCUUGUUGGUGGGGUAACGGCCUACCAAGGCGACGAUGCGUAGCCGACCUGAGAGGGUGACCGGCCACACUGGGACUGAGACACGGCCCAGACUCCUACGGGAGGCAGCAGUAGGGAAUCUUCCGCAAUGGGCGCAAGCCUGACGGAGCAACGCCGCGUGAGUGAUGAAGGCCUUCGGGUUGUAAAACUCUGUCUUCCGGGACGAACCGGUGGGAGAGGAAAUGCUCCCGCCCUGACGGUACCGGAGGAGGAAGCCCCGGCUAACUACGUGCCAGCAGCCGCGGUA
rnacentral:rRNA from 1 species